UACAGAGGUGGCAAGCGUUGUUCGGAUUCACUGGGCGUAAAGGGUGCGCAGGUGGUCGGGUAAGUCUGACGUGAAAUCCCGCAGCUUAACUGCGGAAUGGCAUUGGAUACUAUUCGGCUAGAGGGUUGGAGGGGGGACUGGAAUUCUCGGUGUAGCAGUGAAAUGCGUAGAUAUCGAGAGGAACACCAGUGGCGAAGGCGAGUCCCUGGACAACUCCUGACGCUGAGGCACGAAAGCUAGGGGAGCAAACAGG
rnacentral:rRNA from 1 species